UACGAAGGGGGCUAGCGUUGUUCGGAUUUACUGGGCGUAAAGCGCACGUAGGCGGAUCGUUAAGUCGGGGGUGAAAUCCUGGAGCUCAACUCCAGAACUGCCUUCGAUACUGGCGAUCUUGAGUCCGGAAGAGGUGAGUGGAACUCCUAGUGUAGAGGUGGAAUUCGUAGAUAUUAGGAAGAACACCAGUGGCGAAGGCGGCUCACUGGUCCGGUACUGACGCUGAGGUGCGAAAAGCGUGGGGAGCAAACAGGGAUUAAGAAACCCUGGUAACGUC
rnacentral:rRNA from 1 species